rnacentral:rRNA from 1 species
CCUACGGGAGGCAGCAGUGGGGAAUAUUGGACAAUGGGCGAAAGCCUGAUCCAGCCAUGCCGCGUGUGUGAAGAAGGCCUUCGGGUUGUAAAGCACUUUCAGUGGGGAAGAAAGCCUUGGGGCUAAUACCCUCGAGGAAGGACAUCACCCACAGAAGAAGCACCGGCUAACUCCGUGCCAGCAGCCGCGGUAAUACGGAGGGUGCGAGCGUUAAUCGGAAUUACUGGGCGUAAAGCGCGCGUAGGCGGUCUGAUAAGCCGGUUGUGAAAGCCCCGGGCUUAACCUGGGAACGGCAUCCGGAACUGUCAGGCUAGAGUGCAGGAGAGGAAGGUAGAAUUCCCGGUGUAGCGGUGAAAUGCGUAGAGAUCGGGAGGAAUACCAGUGGCGAAGGCGGCCUUCUGGACUGACACUGACGCUGAGGUGCGAAAGCGUGGGUAGCAAACAGGAUUAGAUACCCCAGUAGUC